rnacentral:rRNA from 1 species
CGUGUAGGCGGGUUGUUAAGUCAUCUGUGAAAGCCCACGGCUCAACCGUGGAACGGCAGUUGAUACUGGCAGUCUUGAGUGCGAGAGGGGAGAGCGGAACUCCUGGUGGAGCGGUGGAAUGCGUAGAUAUCAGGGGGAACAGCGGAGGCGAAGGCGGCUCUCUAGUUCGCAACUGACGCUGAGGCGCGAAAGCCAGGGGAGCGAACAGGAUUAGAUACCCUGGUAGUCC